UACGUAGGUGGCGAGCGUUGUCCGGAUUUACUGGGCGUAAAGAGCGCGCAGGCGUCGUACAAGUCGCGUGUGAAAGCCCCUGGCUCAACUGGGGAGGGUCACGCGAUACUGUUCGACUCGAAGGCAGGAGAGGGAAGUGGAAUUCCCGGUGUAGUGGUGAAAUGCGUAGAUAUCGGGAGGAACACCAGUGGCGAAGGGCGAAGCUUCCUCGG
rnacentral:rRNA from 1 species